GCCUUCGUAGCUCAGCGGUAGAGCGGCGCUUUCGUAAAGCGUAGGUCGCCGGUUCGAAUCCGGCCGAAGGCUCCA
rnacentral:tRNA from 2 species